rnacentral:rRNA from 1 species
UACGUAGGGUGCAAGCGUUAAUCGGAAUUACUGGGCGUAAAGCGUGCGCAGGCGGUUAUGUAAGACAGAUGUGAAAUCCCCGGGCUCAACCUGGGAACUGCAUUUGUGACUGCAUAGCUAGAGUACGGUAGAGGGGGAUGGAAAUUCCGCGUGUAGCAGUGAAAUGCGUAGAUAUGACGGAGGAACACCGAUGGCGAAGGCAAUCCCCUGGACCUGUAC